ACUUAACAAGCGGCCGUUCCACUGACUGGCCCGAAAGUCGAAACCAAAUUUAGCGUGUAGAAACUGCAGGCUGUUUGUAAUUCUUGUCUGCCGUUAAGAUAUUCGAUUUGAUACGGUACAUUUGAGUCAAGUUAGUUUUGAGCCUUUAACCAGUGCUGAUGCACCUCGUUCCAUUGCAUGUCGGCAUCUGAGCGCCGGGACGCGCCCUGCAGAGGCUGCUGCAGAACAGCUUGGAGGCAUUAAGAAGAUUAAAUAACGGGAGUGGUGUGGGCAUUUGGUCCAUUCCGACUGGAGUCUACGAGCCGGCCGGCGAUCGGCCAAGAGGAGUAGAAGUAAAUACGGACCAGCCGCGAGAGAAAUCAAAAGUAUUGCAGGAAUUUCCUUCCGAGAUGUCUUACAGGAC
rnacentral:lncRNA from 1 species